GUGUCAGCAGCCGCGGUAAGACGUAGGGGGCAAGCGUUGUCCGGAUUCAUUGGGCGUAAAGAGCGUGUAGGCGGCCAGGUAGGUCGGAUGUGAAAACUCGAGGCUCAACCUCGAGAGGUCAUCCGAAACCAUUUGGCUAGAGUCCGGAAGAGGAGAGUGGAAUUCCUGGUGUAGCGGUGAAAUGCGCAGAUAUCAGGAAGAACACCGAUGGCGAAGGCAGCUCUCUGGUACGGUACUGACGCUGAGACGCGAAAGCGUGGGGAGCGAACAGGAUUAGAAACCCGGGUAGUCC
rnacentral:rRNA from 1 species